rnacentral:rRNA from 1 species
CUACACUCACCUGCCGAAGCAACUAGCCCUGAAAAUGGAUGGCGCUCUAGCGUCGUGCCUAUACCGGGCCGUCAACGGCACAGUGGGUGUUCUGUCCUUCGGGCAGAACCGUUAAGCCUUGACGAGUAGGAGGGUCGCGGCGGUGUGCGCAGAAGGGUCAGGGCGUGAGCCCGCCUGGAGCCGCCGUCGGCGCAGAUCUUGGUGGUAGUAGCAAAUACUCUAGCGAGGGCCUGGAGGACUGACGUGGAGAAGGGUUUCUUGUGAACAGCCGUUGCACAAGAGUCAGUCGACCCUAAGCUCUAGGAGAAAUCCGAUGGCGAUGGGUGGCUAACAACGUACUUAAACCACGUUGUGUGUUUUUCUUUAUGCCCCUGGCGGGCAAAAGGGAGUCCGGUUCCUAUUCCGGAACCCGGCUGCGUGACCGCAACUCUGCGGGCACUCGCCUGCGAGCGCUCGUCGGGGUAACCCAAACUGGCCCGGAGACGCCGGCGGGGGGUCUGGAAAGAGUUUUCUUUUCUUUAUAAGCGUUCGAGUACCCUGGAAUCCUAUAGCAGGGAGAUAGGGUUUGGAACGCGAAGAGCACCGCAGUUGCGGCGGUGUCCGGACCUUCCCCCCGGACCUUGAAAAUCCGGGUGAGGGCUACGCGGAAGNUCGCGCCGGGUCGUACCCAUAUCCGCAGCAGGUCUCCAAGGUUAAGAGCCUCUAGUCGAUAGAAUAAUGUAGGUAAGGGAAGUCGGCAAAUNGGAUCCGUAACUUCGGGACAAGGAUUGGCUCUGAGGAUCGGGGCGUGUCGGGCUUGGUCGGGAAGCGGGUCAGCGCCAACGAGCCGGGCCUGGGCGAGGGGAAGGUAGCGUUCCAGAGAAAUCUGGGCGUCUUCUGUGAUCCGAGCUCGGUCCCGUGCCUUGGCCUCCCGCGGAUCUUCCUUGCUGCGGGGUCUUGGCUGUUCUAGUUGCGGCUGGGCCUUCGGGCCCGCCGUGGACGGGUCGAAUUUGUCCCUUCGUCCGCCAUUCAACGAUCAACUCAGAACUGGCACGGACCGGGAGAAUCCGACUGUCUAAUUAAAGCAAAGCAUUGCGAUGGCUCUAACUGAGUGUUUACGCAAUGUGAUUUCUGCCCAGUGCUCUGAAUGUCAACGUGAAGAAAUUCAAGCAAGCGCGGGUAAACGGCGGGAGUAACUAUGACUCUCUUAAGGUAGCCAAAUGCCUCGUCAUCUNAUUAGUGACGCGCAUGAAUGGAUUAACGAGAUUCUCACUGUCCCUAUCUACUAUCUAGCGAAACCACUGCCAAGGGAACGGGCUUGGAAAAAUUAGCGGGGAAAGAAGACCCUGUUGAGCUUGACUCUAGNCUGGCACUGUAAGGAGACAUGAGAGGUGUAGCAUAAGUGGGAGACGGCGGGCGUAAGCUUGUCCGUUCGACGGUGAAAUACCACUACUUUCAUCGUUUCCUUACUUACUCGGAUAGGCGGAAAGCGUGCCCGUCUAGGGUAUUUUCCCAGGCGGGCCGGUAUUCUCGCACAAAGCGUCCGAGGGUUGUCGGGACAGCUGUCCGAGAGGGUGUAGUCCGAGUGGCGAGGCGGCCAACUCGCAAGAGGAAAGUCGCUGAACCCCGGCUGCGCCUGAACGGGCUCUGCUCACCGGCAAACACUCCCUCGCGUGAUCCGAUUCGAGGACACAGCCAGGCCGGGAGUUUGACUGGGGCGGUACAUCUGUCAAAAGAUAACGCAGGUGUCCUAAGGCCAGCUCAGCGAGGACAGAAACCUCGCGUAGAGCAAAAGGGCAAAUGCUGGUUUGAUCCCGAUGUCCAGUACGCAUAGGGACUGCGAAAGCACGGCCUGUCGAUCCUUUUGGCUUGAAGAGAUUUCAGCAAGAGGUGU